AUGGGUUCAUUUUCCUGUGGGAGUGCCUCCACGACCACGGGGCGGGCAGUGAGAAGAGCCCUCCCUUGCCUUCCGGCUCCUGCUGUGGACGACGCGGCGUCGGGGCCCUGCCAGAGCCAGCACUGUGGACUCUCAGCCUCCAGAGCUCUGCGGCCAAUCAACUUCCAGCUACAGAUACGCCAGCCUCCCAGGGCUGUCCCAGCAGCCCGGACGGCCGAGACCAAGGGUGCGCGCUCUGUUCUCAGCACGUCGUCUCCCUCGGGGCUUCCAAGACUCAGGCCCAGGGCACAGUCACUUCCUCCCAGACGUCUCAGUGGGUCAGACCAGCGGCUGACGGGAAGUGGUCAUGUGACUCAGUCUUCCGACCCACAGCUGUGUCUGACUUCCCACAGGGAACUGAGGGGAGCCUGGGAGAAAGGCACCAGAGAUUCGCCUGACCCUGAGCUUCCAUUCUGGCACAGGCAGCAGGUGCAGGUGUGCUGCCGUGUGGAAGAGCAGCCCGGGAGCGGGGCUCGGGACGGCACCCACUGCCCUUGGGGUGUGCAGAGCUCAGUGUGUGAACGGGGACUGGUCACGGUCAGAAUCUGUGACACAGGCAGAAGCUGUGAACGGGACUGGUGGAGACCACGGACGCCCUCGCCAAGAUGCCAUCGGGAGCAUCACGACCGGAACACGGUUUACGGUGAAGCAAUUUCAGGCUUACAGAGCAGCUGUUUCCGGAAGGCGAGAGCAAUGCAGCCACUAGAAGCCCUCAGUGCUCACGGACACAGAAGGAACCAGAAUCUCACAAAGCCGGACUACUGAG